CCUUUAUUGGACAGAGAAGAAGCCCUAGCUCCCUUCUAUUCACCUAAUAAUAUAAAUACAACCACCUUCAAAAAAUUGGCCCUCCGCCCACCGCUGGCCAAAUCUUAUUUUGCUUCUUUUCUGUACUCUGCUCCGAGACUAUAUCAGCUUAGAGAGCUCUUUCUCUAUACAUAUAUAUAUUUAAAAGAAAAAGGAAGGAAGAAAUUACAUGCCCAAAACCCAAAUUGGAAAGACAGUAGAAGUGAAUCCUAGCAUUUUAGCAUUUAAGCCUCGCCAGGUGCUGUUGUUGUCUAAACCGCCAGCAAGCAGCAUGAAGCUAGACGACGGCAGCAACAACAACGACAAACUAAUUCUUAAGCCGGAGCAGAAGACAUUGCUCUUGAAUUCCAUAGCUCAGUAUCUGGAACGAAGUGGCUUCUCCAAAACUGUUAAGAAGUUUCGUUCUGAAGCCAGAAUCCAGAAAGAUGAUUUAAUUGAAUCUUCUUUUGACCUGCAAGAGAUGUUUAUCAAGAUUUUGGAUAUGCGUAAUCAUGCCAAUAAAAACUCCAAGAGCCACAGGGUGCAAGAACUACAAACUGUAGGCAUUUCUAGAACAGAUGGAAAUGGUGAUUUUGCUUCUGCUACGGGUGAUGGAAAGGAAAGGAAGAAGGAUAAGAGUGCUGUUGAUAAAUCUAUUGGUCCUAAGAAUGCUGAAGAGAAUCCAACUCCUGAUAAUACCAUGUCCACAGAGGUGAAACCUAAAGAGAAAACGAGAAACAAAAAGAAGCAAAGCAACUUGGGUUCAGAAUCUCUUUGUAAUAACCCAAAUGAAGAGUCAGUGUCUGAGCCAACUGUAGAAAAAUCUAAGGAUGUAGCAAUAAAAGCUGAUGAGAAAAUGACGGACUCCAAGACAGAUGAUAAACCAAAGGAUAAGAAGAAGAAGAAGAAGAAAAACAAGCUGUCUUCUGAUCCUAUUGUUGCUGAAGAAAAUCCACAGAAAAUUGAUUCUGAAAAUUUAAAGACUCCAAAGGAGGAUUUUAUUGAAAAACAGGAUAAAAAUUCCAAGAAGAGGAAAAGAACAGCGUCUGAAGAUGGUGAAAAACUAAUUGAAGAUCAGCCCAAUGGUGAAAAACUAGUUGAAGUAUCCAAACACAUAAAGACAGAAGAAUCUAAACGUAGAAAGACAAAAGAUUCUGAAGAGCCCAAAGUAAGAGAUCAUUCUACAGGGUUAGAUUCAUCCUCUAGAAUUGAAGAGAAGCCCCAGAAAGAAGAAAACAGCCAAACUGUUUCUGGCGAGGCCCAGAAAUUAUUGACUAUAGAGCUUAAUGGGCAGUCAAACCGAAGCCUCAAGGAAAUUGGAGAGAAAUCUUCCAUGAAGAAAAUCGAGAAGCAGCAGAAUGGUUCAACUGAGCCACAAUCAGCUAUACGUUUUCAGAGAGUAAAAGUUGACGACGUGGUAUUCUCUGAUGAGAGGCUUAAAGAUAAUUCAUAUUGGGCAAAGGAUGGAGCUGAGAUUGGCUAUGGUGCAAAAGCACAGGAUAUUCUUGGGCAAGUUAGAGGAAGGCGUCCCUGAGGCGAGAGGCGCAAGCCUCAAUAAAGGCAGGCGACUUCACUAAGGUGCGCGCCUUUGUGCGUCUUGGACCUAAGGGAUUUUAGGCAUGAAAAGACAAAGAAGAAACGUGGGUCAUACAGAGGAGGACAAAUUGACUUGCAAUCCCAUUCUGUCAAGUUCAACUAUUCUGAUGAUGAAUGAUUGGGGAUCUUUCUUUCUGCAGAUUUUGGGCAUCACUUAUCAUGAGCCAAUUUGGUGAUUUAGUUUCUGUAAGAGUUGUUUAUUGUUUUGCACUUUGACUAAUUUGACAACUUUUCUUAUUAUUGAAACAAUUCACGGAUUUGCAUAUAUUUGCUAUGCUUUGAAAUUCUUUGGGGUUCCUCCCCUUGCUUUC